GACGAGGGCCUAGCGUUGUUCGGAUUUACUGGGCGUAAAGGGCGCGUAGGCGGCGCGGUAAGUCACUUGUGAAAUCUCUGACGCUUAACUCAGAACGGCCAAGUGAUACUGCAGUGCUAGAGUGUGGAAGGGGCAAUCGGAAUUCUUGGAUGUAGCGGUGAAAUGCGUAGAUAUCAAGAGGAACACCUGAGGUGAAGACGGGUUGCUGGGCCAACACGUGACGCUGAGGCGACGAAAGCCAGGGGAGCAAACGGG
rnacentral:rRNA from 1 species